UUUUGCUGAGUUGUUUCGUUUGUUUUCCAUAUCUCGAAAUCGUACAUCAGUAAGGAAAAAGUAUUGCUAUUGUACAGUUUUAAUUUCAUCUUUAUUUCAUCUUAAAUGAAAUUAUCUUUGACUUCCAUAUUAUGCUUCUUUUUUUUUAAAAGCGAUCCAGGCAUUCUGAGUCUUUGGUUGACGUCGUCAAGGCAGUCUGCACUUUUGGAGAUAAUGCUGCCAUGUUAUUUCGGGAUGCUGUACCUACUUCAUAAAAGAGGACUCUUCUAGUGUUGUGACUGAGUGUUCUACCUUCAAAAUCAACAA